CACCUACGGGACGCAGCAGUAGGGAAUCUUCCACAAUGGACGAAAGUCUGAUGGAGCAACGCCGCGUGAGUGAAGAAGGGUUUCGGCUCGUAAAGCUCUGUUGGUAGUGAAGAAAGAUAGAGGGAGUAACUUGCCUUUAUUUGACGGUAAUUACUUAGAAAGUCACGGCUAACUACGUGCCAGCGGCCGCGGUAAUACGUAGGGGGGAAGCGUUGUCCGGUUUUUUUGGGCGUAA
rnacentral:rRNA from 1 species